UACGAAGGGGGCGAGCGUUGUUCGGAAUUACUGGGCGUAAAGCGUGCGUAGGCGGUUCGUUAAGUUCGUUGUGAAAGCCCCGGGCUCAACCUGGGAACUGCAAUGGAAACUGGCGGGCUUGAGUGUGGCAGAGGGGGGUGGAAUUCCGCGUGUAGCAGUGAAAUGCGUAGAGAUGCGGAGGAACACCGAUGGCGAAGGCAGCCCCCUGGGCCAACACUGACGCUCAGGCACGAAAGCGUGGGGAGCAAACAGG
rnacentral:rRNA from 1 species